GUUUGUGCAAGAUUUCGAAGUUGACCUUCCACCUUAAGCCGCUUUCUCACAUGUUGAUUUGAUGCCUGCUUAUUCUCUGCAUCACUCUGCACAAUCUGAAGACAAUGCUUCUUCAACUGCUUAUUCUUCAGAAACAUCUUGAGCAGAUCAGCUGCUUCUUCAAAGAGAACAUUCAGAAAUGCACCACCAACUACACUACAAACUGCUAAGACAAUCUCGAUCAUUUCUGAAAUCUACAAAGCAAAACAAAGGAACCACAAAAAUGGUUGUGAGGGACUCAAAAUAAAUGUAAGCUCAUUUUUUUACAUGAUGAAUUGAAUUUGUUUUAGAAUUGUGAAGAAUUGAUUAAGAGGUUGAAUGAUUCUCUACAUUCUGGUAAAUUAAUUUCUUGUAAUAAUAGUUUAGGAAAUUAAAUUAAUGGUGGCUUUAAGAAUUUAUUGAUCCAAUGUGUAUUAUAGCGUAAUGUGUAGUGGCAGAUUUCCUUGAAGAAGCACAGUAUGUGAUUAUGGAAAUAAUAAUAGGUAUUUACAAAUUAUAAUAACCUUGACAAAGUCUCUACCAUAAUUACGCUUUAUUUUACCCAUUAAAUCUACAAACACAACACUCAGCACAAUGGGGUAUCACCAUACACAUAAACGCCGAACUCUCGUGAUAGUUAUAAUAUGAAGACACUACCCCUUUAGGGAUACAAUCUAAGAUUAAUUUUUCCACUACACUGAGUACACAUCACGAGUUCUUCCCUCUUUCAACUAAGUUCUAAUUAUCAUAACUAAUCACAUCUUCUUCUAAAUACCCUAAAUCUAUAAAUCGUGCUACCACUUUAGCUAAUCACCACGUAAGGGUCGUACCACUGAGUCCGCCCUUAACUCAGUGGCCAAGCCUCCGAUUCAAGUUUGCCGCAAGAAUUGGAGUUUCCAUAAGUUGGUAUACCCCCUUAGAGGUAUGCCAUGGCAUCACCGUUACAUGAUGUCCUAAUUAUUCCCCUUUUAUGAUAAUAUCCUUAUCGGCAAAAUAAGGUU
rnacentral:lncRNA from 1 species